CUCGCCAGUGCGGCAGCUGCUGCCACCUCGCGGCGAUCCCCUACAUUACGAGGAGCUGGCACAGUGCAGAAUCACCGUCAAAUUUGGAAUACUACACAAGUGAGUAAGCUGAAGAUGCGUCAUAUUUGUUUACGUUUGUGGAUUUCCAGCAGAAGACACACAGCAAAUUUUUGAGCGGAACUCUGAUAAAUUGCAAUGGACAAACAAUUCCAUCACUGCCCUGAUUUCUGCAGAUUAGGACGAAAACGUAUUAAUAGAUGCAGAACAUCCGCUGUACGACAAGAAUGCAAGGAAAGAGAGAUUGGAACGUGUAGCAACGAAAGUUGCGCAAGUCUUACAAGGUAUUACCACCGAUGACUGCAAGGCAAAAUUCUCAAUUUUGCGCUUUCACUACGGCGCUGAACUCAAAAUACGCCACAGCGAGAGUAGUGGCUCAUCCGGCGCCGUAUGCAGACCGAGAGUUUGUUCGUGCGAUUAUUUACGUUUCCUGAAAGACUUCAUGACACCAUGCGAAAGCCGGCAUAAUAUUCCGAACAGUGUUGUGCCUCACAACUGCUAAAGAAAUUGUCAGGACUGGAAAGGUGCCUGUCAACACUCUGCUAGAAGUGAACAGGACUCUGAUCAUAAACUUUUAUUAUGAGAAUUGAUAGCCCAUCAUGUACAUCGAAUAGUGAAGGCCCAGGUAUCACAAUUGAUGUAACUAAAAGACUCACUUGAGAAUCUGGAUGUGGUGGUAGUAAACGAUAGUGCUGAAUCUGAAGUGCCUAGUACUCCAGUGGCUUCCAGUGCGUAUUCCACGACACCAAAAAUUUGGAGGAAGUGAUAGUACUCCCCUACUACAUACAGUACUGGAUAACUUGAACUCAAAAUUAACUGAAAAGGCACCAGUCCCAUCUCCGGAUGAUGCUUUGGGACACUUCAUUGUGGAAGAGUUGGCCAGAAUAAGAAAUCCAACGAUUGUGAGGGACACAAAACGUAAAAUACUGAAAAUUGUAAUGGAAGCUCAAAUAAUGGAUGAUAACUGUUGAACUGUAUGCAUUUAGUGUUUAUUAAUUUGAAAAUACAUUA